AUAAGGAUGGGGGAGGAGAGAUCACAGCACACGGCAAGAAGGAAGAAGGAAGGAGGGUGAGAGGAGGAGAUGAGAGAAGGAAGAGGGCCCAGCCAGCGGCUGAAGGUCCACACCCUGCAGCUCUGUGGCUGACAGCCACUCAGCUGGGCAAGACGUGGAGUGUAUGGAAGUUUAUCUCCUAAGUAAUACAUAUUCUGGGAAGUUGGCAAUGGACAUCAUCACAAUUCCCAAUCUUCUAAAGACUGACAACGUUCUAAAACAGCAGCACCAGGAGACAAAGGAAGACAGUUCAGAUUUCAACUAUAGCAUAACUGCUGAACCAGCAGUCACUGCGCCGCUGAUGGAUGAGAUGGGAUGGGAUGAGAGUAGAGAGAGACAAGAUUGUCUUCUUCCUUGAGGAUAUCCACUCUGAAGGGUGCUUCUGGUGGGAUUUCCAACAAGCCUGUAUAUCUACAUCCAAGAUGGCUCCAAAGUGACUAGCCCCAAAUGCUCUGACCUCACAGACCGCUCCAACACGGCCAAGAUUUCUCAAGUUCCAGAUGGUCCUGCAGAGCCUGGACAGCAAGUGGAUUAGUCUUCAGUCUUCUCUCUUUCUUCCUGGCCUUGGCCAGCCUGCCAGCUUUCUUGAGUCCCCAACAAAGGGGCUAUGAUCUCAGAACUCCAGAACAUUUCAUGUGUGAUAAAAUUUGGAGAUCACAUGGCUAGGAAAAAUGUGUGUUGACAUAAAAUAGCACAGUCCAGCCUAUCAAUUUAUAUAUGACACUGGCCUGGGUGCAAUUUCUCAUUUUAGUGAGAAAACCUCCAGAAAAACCUGUGAGUUAAACAUUUAAUGCCCAUUUUGCAUAAAAAGAAACUAAGACUCUAUUGUAUUCAGUGAAAUGUACAAGUCCAGUUUUUGUAGCUAGGAAAAGGUUGCCCAGGGGAGGGAGAGAAGAGAAAUAGGGUAAUGGGAUAAAUGACAUGAGAAGAGAAAUGGGAACUACUUGGGUGGUGAGGAUCAAACUAGAAUACCUCCUCCUGUACUGAAUUUGACAUUCUUUUUGAGCUUUAGUCUCCCUCCCACAUCUCUUGGAACAAAGAUUUCAUCAGAGAUUGUACUGUCCCUUCCCCCCACAGCAUUUAGCUGUGACCCUCCUGGCUGGCAACCCCCACCCUUCCCCAGGCUUUAUCUCCAGCCUAUUCAAGCUGCGGCAUUCCUGGCCUACAGCCUCCACCCUUCCCCUGGCGUUAUCUCUGGCCUAUUCAAGAUAACAAUAUAGCAGAUUUCACCUCAGCGCAGCUCCACCCGGAGACCAACAGAAAACUGUGUGACUGAAAGCAGACAACCCGCUGAGAAGAAGAUCUAAUGAACUCUCGGCCAUUUGGGGGGCAGGGUGGUUUUUCCUAAGAUUAUAAAUAUUGGCUUAAUGAUAGUAAA